rnacentral:lncRNA from 1 species
GAGGGAACAGCGUGAACAGUGAGAAACUGCAGCCCCGCCACCCCGAGGCCCGGAGCAGGCCAAGAUUAUCUGUAAAUCAGAUAAGAAGGAUUCUCAAAGUAAAAGGUAUCUUAGUCACUUACAUCAGAUGUAUUCCACUUCGCUCGCUAACAUGGAGUUCUCCAGGAGGAACAGGCUCCGGAGCUGGCCCGGCCGGACACCACCUCGGAGCCGUUUCCGUGAAGCGACUUCACAGAUCUCACAGCCUGAUGACUGGGCGGAGCCCGCGGGUUCUUGGGCGAAGGAGUGGCCUUGUGGGCAUUUGCAGGGAAAAGUGUCUCCCUCUCUUAGUGGCCAAUUUAGGCCCUGCGAUUAGCAUUUGAAUCAGGCCGCCCUGCUGUUUUGAUUGAAAAGAGAAACCCAGCCUUUGUUGUUGCAAUUCAGGGGCGUAAGUGAUUUUCUCCCCUCCUUUAAUCAGGGCAGAGAGUUGGG